rnacentral:rRNA from 1 species
UACGAAGGGGGCUAGCGUUGUUCGGAAUUACUGGGCGUAAAGCGCACGUAGGCGGACUGUUUAGUCGGGGGUGAAAGCCCGGGGCUCAACCCCGGAAUUGCCUCCGAUACUGGCAGUCUUGAGAUCGGAAGAGGUGAGUGGAAUUCCUAGUGUAGAGGUGAAAUUCGUAGAUAUUAGGAAGAACACCAGUGGCGAAGGCGGCUCACUGGUCCGAUUCUGACGCUGAGGUGCGAAAGCGUGGGGAGCAAACAGG